UACGUAGGGGGCGAGCGUUGUCCGGAAUUACUGGGCGUAAAGGGUGCGUAGGCGGCGAUGCAAGUCCAUUGUGAAAAGCCCGGGCUUAACCUGGGAGGUGCAGUGGAAACUGUAUGGCUUGAGUGCAGGAGAGGAAAGUGGAAUUCCUAGUGUAGCGGUGAAAUGCGUAGAUAUUAGGAGGAACACCAGUGGCGAAGGCGACUUUCUGGACUGUAACUGACGCUGAGGCACGAAAGCGUGGGGAGCAAACAGGAUGAGAUACCCUGGUAGUCCACGCCGUAAACGAUGGAUACUAGGUGUAGGGGGUAUCGACCCCCCCUGUGCCGGAGUUAACACAAUAAGUAUCCCGCCUGGGGAGUACGGCCGCAAGGUUGAA
rnacentral:rRNA from 1 species